UCCCUGAGAGUCCUGAAGGAACGUUGAAGACGACGACGUUGAUAGGUCGGGUGUGUAAGUGUAGCGAUACAUUGAGCUAACCGAUACUAAUGAACCGUGAGGCUUAACCUUACAACGCCGAAGC
rnacentral:rRNA from 1 species